UUAGCUCAUAUUUGUAUGGAGUGGGAUCGUUUGCGUACGUUUGCCGCUAGGGGCGCUGUUCUAACUGCAUACAAAAUUGGGUUA
rnacentral:pre_miRNA from 1 species